GUUUGAUCCUGGCUCAGGAUGAACGCUGGCGGCGUGCCUAAUACAUGCAAGUCGAGCGAAUGGAUUGAGAGCUUGCUCUCAAGAAGUUAGCGGCGGACGGGUGAGUAACACGUGGGUAACCUGCCCAUAAGACUGGGAUAACUCCGGGAAACCGGGGCUAAUACCGGAUAACAUUUUGAACUGCAUGGUUCGAAAUUGAAAGGCGGCUUCGGCUGUCACUUAUGGAUGGACCCGCGUCGCAUUAGCUAGUUGGUGAGGUGGCUCACCAAGCAACGCGAAGAACCUGACAAGGUCAUGACACACUGACACUGAGACACGGCCCCUCCUACGGGAGCAGAGGGAAGCUGCCGCAUGGACGUCGACAGCACGCCGCGUGAGUGAUGAAGGCAACGAGCGCAAAACUUGAUCUUAGGGAACAACAAUUAGUUGAAUAAGCUGACUGACGGUAACAAACCAGAAAGCCACGGAUAACUAAAUCAGCAGCCCCUAAUACCUAGGCGACAAACGUGAUACAAUGGACGUAAAGAGCGCGCAGGUGGAGCUAAUCUCAUAAAACCGGCUCAACCGUGGAGGCUGAAACUCGCAGACAUGAGUGGAAGAGGAAAGCGGAUCCAUGCCGCGGUGAAAUGCGUACACAUACGGAGGAACACCAGUGGCGAGGCAACUUUCUGGCCAGUAACUGACACUGAGGCGCAAAGGGGGAAAACAGGAUUAGAUACCCUGGUAGUCCACGCCGUAAACGAUGAGUGCUAAGUGUUAGAGGGUUUCCGCCCUUUAGUGCUGAAGUUAACGCAUUAAGCACUCCGCCUGGGGAGUACGGCCGCAAGGCUGAAACUCAAAG
rnacentral:rRNA from 1 species